GCCAGCAGCCUUAUUACCCUGCAACUCACAACUGGCAACCCACUGAAGCUAAGCAGGUGUGAGCCUGGUCAGUACCUGGAUGGGAGACCACCUGGGAAAAACCACCUGGGAAAAACUAAGGUUGCUGCUGGAA
rnacentral:rRNA from 1 species